AACGUAGGUACCGAGCGUUAUCCGGAUUUACUGGGCGUAAAGCGUGUUCAGGCGGCCUGGCAAGUCGGGCAUGAAAUCUCUCGGCUCAACCGAGAGAGGCUGUCCGAUACUGCUGGGCUUGAGGACGGUAGAGGGUGGUGGAAUUCCGCGUGUAGUGGUGAAAUGCGUAGAUAUGCGGAGGAACACCAGUGGCGAAGGCGGCCACCUGGACCGUCCCUGACGCUCAAACACGAAAGCUGGGGUAGCGAACGGG
rnacentral:rRNA from 1 species